AACGAACGCUGGCGGCAUGCCUAACACAUGCAAGUCGAACGAGACCUUCGGGUCUAGUGGCGCACGGGUGCGUAACGCGUGGGAACCUGCCUUUAGGUUCGGAAUAACUCAGAGAAAUUUGAGCUAAUACCGGAUGAUGUCUUCGGACCAAAGAUUUAUCGCCUUUAGAUGGGCCCGCGUUGGAUUAGCUAGUUGGUGGGGUAAAGGCCUACCAAGGCGACGAUCCAUAGCUGGUCUGAGAGGAUGAUCAGCCACACUGGGACUGAGACACGGCCCAGACUCCUACGGGAGGCAGCAGUGGGGAAUAUUGGACAAUGGGCGAAAGCCUGAUCCAGCAAUGCCGCGUGAGUGAUGAAGGCCUUAGGGUCGUAAAGCUCUUUUACCCGAGAUGAUAAUGACAGUAUCGGGAGAAUAAGCUCCGGCUAACUCCGUG
rnacentral:rRNA from 1 species